UCGAGGUGGGACUAAGCCAUGCUAGUCGAACGAACAGAACAAUGUCUGUUAGUGGCGUACUGCUCAGUAACACGUAGCUAACCUACCCUUAAGACGUCGAUAACCCCGAGAAAUUGGGGCUAAUAAACGAUAGAUAUGAUGUCCUGGAAUGGUAUCAUGUCGAAAGGUAUUCCAUACAUGUUUGGUAUACGCUUAAGGAUGGGGCUGCGGCCGAUCAGGCAGUUGGUGAGGUAAUGGUUCACCAAACCAUUGACCGGUACGGGCCAUGAGAGUGGUAGCCCGGAGAUGGACACUGAGACAAGGGUCCAGGCCCUACGGGGCGCAGCAGGCGCGAAACCUCCUCAAUGCACUAACGUGCGAAGGGGUUACCUCGAGUGCUAUCUGAAGAAGGUGGCUUUUCCUUGGUCUAAAAAGCCUUGGGAAUAAGAGGGGGGCAAGACUGGUGUCAGCCGCCGCGGUAACACCAGCCCCUCGAGUGGUGGGGAUGGUUAUUUGGCCUAAAGCGUCCGUAGCCGGCCGGAUAAGUUUCCCGUUAAAUCGAACGUCUCAAGCGUUGGACUGCGGGAAAUACUGUCUGGCUAGAGAGUGGGAGAGGUCUGCGGUAUUCUGGGGGUAGGGGCGAAAUCCUUUGAUCCCCGGAGGACCACCAGUGGCGAAGGCUGCAGACUAGAACACGUCUGACGGUCAGGGACGAAAGCUGGGGUAGCGAACCGGAUUAGAUACCCGGGUAGUCCCAGCCGUAAACGAUGCAUGCUAGGUGUUGGGUUGGCCACGAGCCACCCCAGUGCCGCAGGGAAGCCGUUAAGCAUGCCGCCUGGGAAGUACGAUCGCAAGAUUGAAACUUAAAGGAAUUGGCGGGGGAGCACCACCAGGCGUGAAGCCUGCGGUUUAAUUGGAGUCAACGCCGGGAA
rnacentral:rRNA from 1 species